rnacentral:rRNA from 1 species
GAUACUUUCCAGCUUGCUGGAAAGGAAAGUGGCGCACGGGUGCGUAACGCGUAUGCAACCUACCUUAAUCAGGGGGAUAGCCCGAAGAAAUUCGGAUUAACACCGCAUAAAAUCACAGUAUAGCAUUAUACAAUGAUCAAAUAUUUAUAGGAUUAAGAUGGGCAUGCGUGACAUUAGCUAGUUGGCGGGGUAACGGCCCACCAAGACCACGAUGUCUAGGGGAUCUGAGAGGAUGACCCCCCACACUGGUACUGAGACACGGACCAGACUCCUACGGGAGGCAGCAGUAAGGAAUAUUGGUCAAUGGAGGCAACUCUGAACCAGCCAUGCCGCGUGCAGGAAGACAGCCCUCUGGGUCGUAAACUGCUUUUAUUCGGGAAUAAACCUAUCUACGUGUAGAUAGCUGAAUGUACCGAAGGAAUAAGGAUCGGCUAACUCCGUGCCAGCAGCCGCGGUAAUACGGAGGAUCCAAGCGCUAUCCGGAUUUAUUGGGUUUAAAGGGUGCGUAGGCGGCUUAUUAAGUCAGGGGUGAAAGACGGUGGCUCAACCAUCGCAGUGCCUUUGAUACUGAUGAGCUUGAAUAUACUAGAGGUAGGCGGAAUGUGACAAGUAGCGGUGAAAUGCAUAGAUAUGUCACAGAACACCGAUUGCGAAGGCAGCUUACUAUGGUAUUAUUGACGCUGAGGCACGAAAGCGUGGGGAUCAAACAGGAUUAGAUACCUGGUAGUCCACGCCCUAAACGAUGAAUACUCGCUGUUAGCGAUAUACAGUUAGCGGCUAAGCGAAAGCGUUAAGUAUUCCACCUGGGGAGUACGCUCGCAAGAGUG